rnacentral:rRNA from 2 species
CCCCGCCCCUAGCUGCCAGCAUUUAGUUGGGCACUCUAAAGGGACUGCCAGUGAUAAGCUGGAGGUAGGUGGGGAUGACGUCAAGUCCUCAUGGCCCUUACGGGCUGGGCUACACACGUGCUACAAUGGUGGUGACAGUGGGCAGCGAGAUCGCGAGGUCGAGCUAAUCUCCAAAAACCAUCCCAGUUCGGAUUGCACUCUGCAACUCGAGUGCAUGAAGUUGGAAUCGCGUAGUAAUCGCGGAUCAGAAUGCCGCGGUGAAUACGUUCCCGGGCCUUGUACACACCGCCCGUCACACCAUGGGAGUUGGUUUUACCCGAAGGUGCUGUGCUAACCGCAAGGAGGCAGGCAACCACGGUAGGGUCAGCGACGUGGGGUGAAGUCGUAACAAGGUAUCCGUAGGUGAACCUGCGGA